ACAAUGAAGAGUUUGAUCCUGGCUCAGGAUGAACGCUAGCGACAGGCUUAACACAUGCAAGUCGAGGGGCAUCACGAAUUAGCAAUAGUUUGGUGGCGACCGGCGCACGGGUGCGUAACACGUAUACAACCUACCUUUAAUAGAGGGAUAACCUGGAGAAAUUCGGACUAAUACCUCAUAGUAAGAUAUUUAGGCAUCUGGAUAUUUUUAAAGAUUUAUCGAUUAGAGAUGGGUAUGCGUAGGAUUAGCUAGUUGGUAAGGUAACGGCUUACCAAGGCUACGAUCCUUAGGGGUUCUGAGAGGAAGGUCCCCCACACUGGUACUGAGACACGGACCAGACUCCUACGGGAGGCAGCAGUGAGGAAUAUUGGUCAAUGGGCGAGAGCCUGAACCAGCCAAGUCGCGUGAAGGAAGACAGCCUUAUGGGUUGUAAACUUCUUUUGUACAGGGGUAAAAGGUUCUACGAGUAGGGUUUUGCAAGUACUGUACGAAUAAGCAUCGGCUAACUCCGUGCCAGCAGCCGCGGUAAUACGGAGGAUGCAAGCGUUAUCCGGAUUUAUUGGGUUUAAAGGGUGCGCAGGCGGUAUUACAAGUCAGGGGUGAAAUCUUGGUGCUUAACAUUAAAAUUGCCUUUGAAACUGUGGUACUUGAGUGUAAAAGAGGUAGGCGGAAUGUGUUGUGUAGCGGUGAAAUGCAUAGAUAUAACACAGAACCCCGAUUGCGAAGGCAGCUUACUAUAAUACAACUGACGCUCAUGCACGAAAGCGUGGGGAUCAAACAGGAUUAGAUACCCUGGUAGUCCACGCAGUAAACGAUGAUUACUAGCUGUUAGCGAUAUACUGUUAGUGGCUAAGCGAAAGCGAUAAGUAAUCCACCUGGGGAGUACGUUCGCAAGAAUGAAACUCAAAGGAAUUGACGGGGGCCCGCACAAGCGGAGGAACAUGUGGUUUAAUUCGAUGAUACGCGAGGAACCUUACCCGGGCUUGAAAUGCAGAUGACAGGCGAAGAGAUUUGCUUUCCCUUCGGGGCAUCUGUGUAGGUGCUGCAUGGUUGUCGUCAGCUCGUGCCGUGAGGUGUCGGCUUAAGUGCCAUAACGAGCGCAACCCUUGCCAAUAGUUGCCAGCAGUUAGAUGGGGACUCUAUUGGGACUGCCACCGUAAGGUGAGAGGAAGGUGGGGAUGACGUCAAAUCAGCACGGCCCUUACGUCCGGGGCGACACACGUGUUACAAUGGGGGGUACAGAGGGUUGCUACACUGCGAGGUGAUGCUAAUCCCCUAAAACCCUUCUCAGUUCGGAUUGGAGUCUGCAACUCGACUCCAUGAAGCUGGAUUCGCUAGUAAUCGCGCAUCAGCCAUGGCGCGGUGAAUACGUUCCCGGGCCUUGUACACACCGCCCGUCAAGCCAUGGGAGUUGGGGGGACCUGAAGUACGUGACCGUAAGGAGCGUCCUAGGGUAAAACCGAUGACUGGGGCUAAGUCGUAACAAGGUAGCCGUACCGGAAGGUGCGGCUGGAACACCUCCUUUUUAGAGA
rnacentral:rRNA from 1 species